rnacentral:rRNA from 1 species
AACGAACGCUGGCGGCAGGCCUAACACAUGCAAGUCGAGCGAGGUAGCAAUGCCUAGCGGCGGACGGGUGAGUAACGCGUGGGAACGUGCCCUUUGCUUCGGAAUAGCCCCGGGAAACUGGGAGUAAUACCGAAUGUGCCCUUCGGGGGAAAGAUUUAUCGGCAAAGGAUCGGCCCGCGUUGGAUUAGGUAGUUGGUGGGGUAAUGGCCUACCAAGCCGACGAUCCAUAGCUGGUUUGAGAGGAUGAUCAGCCACACUGGGACUGAGACACGGCCCAGACUCCUACGGGAGGCAGCAGGUGGGGAAUCUUAGACAAUGGGCGCAAGCCUGAUCUAGCCAUGCCGCGUGAUCGAUGAA